rnacentral:ncRNA from 2 species
AAAUUGAAUAAAUCUACAGGUGCCAAUCCUAUGAUUGGUGAAAAGGGAAGCAGGUGAAAGUCCUGCACGGUCCCGCCGCUGUAAGAGGGAAAUCUUUAUCAAAGCCACUGUAAAACUGGGAAGGCGAUAAAGAUGCUGAUCCUUGAGUCAGAAGACCUGCCUGUAUGAUCCACCAAUA